CCCCUCAGUUCCGUCACAGACAGGAAGUGACGUCGGUGUAGAAGAUGGUUGUCUGUAAAUCCUGUGCACUGCUGCGGCUCGCUAGCCGUUUAAUUUAACGCAGUGUGUGGGCUCCUUCCAGUCCGGCGGAUGGACCCCCGUGGAGACAUGGCAGUGCACCGCUGCCGCCCGCUCUCCUGAACGCGGAAUCGAACCCGCAACUUCAUGUCUGACGGAGCCAGAGCUGCCUGGUCGAAGAGGGGUUGUGGGGAUUCGCACCGCCGAGAACCGGGGAAACAUAAACACAGGAAAUGCGAGCGGCCCUUUAGCGCUCAGACGUCGCAGCCUGUGAUCGUUCGCCCSGGCUCCAAAAGGUGUGUUAUGUCAGGGGCGGACGUGGAGGUGUACCUGUCGCAGGUGCACGACGGCAGCGUGUCGUCGGGCUUCCGAGCGCUGUACGAGGAGCGCCUGCUGCUGGACGUCACGCUGCUGAUAGAGGAGCACCACUUCCAGGCCCACAAGGCGCUCCUGGCCACGCAGAGCGACUACUUCCGGGUCAUGUUCACGGCAGACAUGAGGGAGCGGGACCAGGACAAGAUCCACAUGAAGGGUCUGACGGCGGCGGGCUUCGGUCACAUCCUGCGCUUCAUGUACUACGGCUCCCUGGAGCUCAGCAUGCCCACGGUGCAGGAGAUCCUGCAGGCAGCCAUGUACGUGCAGCUGACGGAGGCGGUGGAGUUCUGCUGCUCCUUCCUGCUGGCUAAGAUCUGCCUGGAGAACUGCGCCGAGGUCAUGAGGCUCCUGGAGGACUUCAGCGUGGGCGUGGAGGGCGUCCAGGAGCAGCUGGACAACUUCCUGCUGGAGAACUUUGUUCCUCUGAUGAGCCGAGCCGACUUCCUGUCCUACCUCAGCCUCGAGAGACUCCAGGCGUACCUGAACAGCGACGCUCUGAGUCGUUUCCCGGAGAUCGAGCUGUACGAAGCCGUGCAGGCGUGGCUGAGACACGACCGGCGGCGCUGGCGGCACACAGACACCAUCGUUCAGUCCGUCCGUUUCUGCCUCAUGACGCCUGCAGACAUCUUUGAGAAGGUGAAGACCUCAGAGUUCUACCGUUACUCCCGGCAGCUGAGGCAGGAAGUGGACCAGGCUCUCAGCUACUUCCACGACGUCAACCAGCAGCCUCUGGUGGAGACCAGGUCCAAUCGGAUCCGCUCGGUCCGGCCGCAGACCGCCGUGUUCAGGGGGAUGAUCGGCCACAGCAUGGUGAACAGCAAGAUCCUGCUGCUGCAGCGGCCCAAGGUGUGGUGGGAGCUGGAGGGUCCUCAGGUGCCUCUCAGACCGGACUGCCUGGCCAUCGUUAAUAACUUUGCCUUCCUGCUGGGCGGAGAGGAGCUGGGUCCUGACGGGGAGUUCCACGCCUCCUCUAAGGUCUACCGCUACGACCCGCGGCAGAACUCGUGGCUGCGCAUGGCGGACAUGUCUGUGCCCAGGUCAGAGUUUGCCGUUGGCGUCAUCGGGAAGUUCAUCUACGCGGUGGCGGGCCGCACGCGGGAUGAGACCUUCUACUCCACGGAGCGCUACGACAUCACCGAGGACCGCUGGGAGUUUGUGGACCCGUAUCCUGUCAACAAGUACGGCCACGAAGGAACGGUCCUGAACGGGAAGCUCUACAUCACGGGGGGCAUCACCUCCUCCUCCACCUCCAAGCAGGUGUGUGUGUUCGACCCGGGCCGGGAGGCAGGCGGCGGGGGAGGAGGAGGAGGAGGCGGCGGCGGGUCGGGCGGGUCGGACUCCCACAGGACGCAGCGCGCCGCCGGCCGCGGCCCGCUGCUGCCCGGCACCCACGCCAGCUGCUGGGAGAACAAAUCCAAAAUGAACUACGCUCGCUGCUUCCACAAGAUGAUCUCCCACAACGGGAAGCUGUACGUGUUCGGAGGCGUGUGCGUCAUCCUGCGCGCCUCCUUCGAGUCGCAGGGCUGCCCGUCCACCGAGGUCUACGACCCGGAGACGGACGAGUGGACCAUCCUGGCCUCCAUGCCCAUCGGGCGCAGCGGGCACGGCGUGGCGGUGCUGGACAGGCAGAUCAUGGUGCUGGGCGGCCUGUGCUACAACGGCCACUACAGUGACUCCAUCCUCACCUUCGACCCCGACGACAACAAGUGGAAGGAGGACGAGUAUCCCAGGAUGCCUUGCAAACUGGACGGUCUGCAGGUGUGCAGCUUGCACUUCCCAGAGUACGUGCUGGAGCACGUCAGACGCUGCAGCUGAGGUCCGCUUCACGUCACGCCUCCUUUUUUUAGAAACUGGACUGUUAAAGGACCGAGCGGCCCCGCUCAGGGGGGUUCAGGUGUUCCAGGCUUUUAAACCAGAGACCAGCACUUACCUGAAGGACAGGACAGAAUUUGUAUCGUCGCAGCGCAGAGAGGUCCUGGCUUCACUGCAGAAACGCACUGGAAGCUUCAGCUUCAGCUGUUAACUCGACCGGUCCCACAGCUCCAACAACAUGUAGGUUUCUCUCUUAUUGAUUAAAGACAAGUUGGUGAAAUAUAAGAUGAUCCCUGCAGAAUAUAUAAAUAAAAUAUAAAACUGUAGUUUAGUUGAUAUAAAUAAAGUGUAGGAAACAUCAGCAGCUUCACUCAUCACAUCCAGAUUUUGCUUCCAGUGCGUUCCAGCUCUGCUUCCAGAAAUCCACCAGACUCUCGCGUCUUCUCAUCUGUCUCCGUCCGGUUAACGUGUUCGUGAGGAGAACCCCACCCGACAUGUUUUAAUUCUUCAUUUCCUAACCCCCAGGUCAGCAGAGAGGCCGUCUCAGAGCAGCUUUACUCGUCCACGUUCCCUGCACUUUAUCGGUUCUUGUUGUGACUGUAAAUAGUUUAGCUCGUUUAGAAGCUGAAGUUUUUGUUUUUGCUACAUGCUGUACUGUUGAUGUUGAGCAGUGUCUGAAAUGAACAUGUUCCCUGAAAUCAACCAAGGCAACUCUGGACCGUUUUCUUCUGUUAGCGUCACUCAGAUGAUCAGGUUUCAACAGUAGCUAAAGACGGACUGAACCAGAGAAAACACCAGCAGCGAGAGGAAAAAUCACCUUUUUCUGACUAAUUUAGACUCAACUCAAAUAUUUAAAAAUAAUAAAUGAACAUUUCUACAGAAUUUACUGUAAUACAUUAAUAUUUAAAUAUAUUCUGGUAGUAGUAUCACCAAAUACAAUGAGGCAAGUAUUCAAGAUGGCACCUGCUUAGAUAUGCUACSCUAGUUAACGUUAGCAUGAAAUUACCACUUUGUUACUGCGAUAAAUUUAUCUGCUGCCUCGUUAGUUCAUAUAAAAUAACAAACCAAAGAAGUAAAAUGUUUUAACGUUUUUCUAAACUGAUUGUUUGAUUCUAUAAAUCUAUCAAAACCGAAUAAAAUUAGACUUAGCCAUGGCUAGCAGCUAGCUUUUACUUGAUAUUGCUAACAGGUUUUAGCUGUGAAUUAGUCAUGAAAGAACACAUCUACCAAUAAAUUGAUUUAUUAAAUAUAAAUGUUAAAAUUAUUGUGAAACCAAGUUUUUAAAGUUAAAAAGAUGACAAUGCUAAAAGCAGAGUUAGCUAGUGUUAGCUGGCAAUUAGCACUGUUUAAAUGUUCUAAACCUUUUAAAACUACUUUUUAUUUAAGUUUGUGACAAUAUAAUUUUACUUUUGUUCAAUUAAUAUUUUUUUAUUAACAGAAAACAAACGUGAAUAUAGCACCUGCUAAUGUGUGCUAAACAAGCUAAUGUUAGCUUCUUUUGUUAACAUUACAAGCUAACAUUUUUCUGCCUCGUUAAUUCGUACUGAAUGACAACAAAAGUUUAGCUUUUGUAAGUUAGACGUUUUUUCUUCAUCUAAGUGUUUAAACAGAUUUUUGAUUGAAUGUAGUGAA